UUUAAUUGCAACUAUGAGUUUUCGUGCUCAACUUUAAUCGUCUGUCUUGUUUAAAAAAUAUAAUUAGUAUAUUUGUUGUUAUGAGAUGAUAAAACAUAAAUAUAUAAUACUUUAUGCGUGACUUAUGUUUUUAUUUUUUUAAAAAAAAUUCAAAUAAGACGGAUGAUUCAAGUUGAGCACGAAAAAGUAUGACUACACUUGAA
rfam:Oryza sativa (indica cultivar-group) chromosome 11, whole genome shotgun sequence.